rnacentral:rRNA from 1 species
CACUAAUGCAACGGAUCCCAUCAGAACUCCGCAGUUAAGCGUGCUUGGGCGAGAGUAGUACUAGGAUGGGUGACCUCCUGGGAAGUCCUCGUGUUGCACCCC